AUGCGGGCCCUUUUUUGGAACAUCCGCGGCUUCGGUCAUGAUGGCCGACGCCGCCAACUAGUCGAAUACAUGCGUGACGAACACAUUGACAUCAUUGCGAUCCAAGAAACCUUGCGUACUGAGUUCUCCCUCCAUGAGCUUGACUGCCUCGGCUCUCACCUCUUCGCCUGGCAUUGGCUCCCUUCUAGUGGGACCACGGGCCACUCCGGUGGCAUCCUUUUAGGGGUUAAGGAUGCCACCUUCGAGGUGGGCGGCAUGGACCGGGGCGAAUUCUUCAUUAGCAUGGAGAUUCUUGAGCGAGCUUUGAACUUCAAAUGGGAGGUCAUGGUUGUCUAUGGUCCGGCGGAUCACCGCCGUUCCCCGACCUUCUUUGCGGAGCUCCACCAAAAGAUCUCCGCCUCCCUCCUCCCAGUAGUUGUGGGCGGAGAUUUUAACCUCAUCCGUUCUCCGGACGAGAAGAAUAAUGAUAGGAUUAACCUCCCCUGGAUGCAGUUGUUCAACGACUGGAUCGCGGAGCUUGGCCUCCGGGAGAUCGAGCGGACGGGGGCGCGAUUCACCUGGACUAACCGCCAGGACGACCCGACGCGAUCCGUCUUGGAUCGUGUCCUAGUUUCCCCGGAGUGGGAAUUGAGGUGCCCCCUGACCUCGCUUCGGGCGAUUACCCGGAUUGGGUCUGACCACGUCCCUCUCCUCCUAUCCUCUGCGGACGAGCGCCUCUCCCCCUCCCGCCGCGGUUUAGGUUUGAGUCCUUUUGGCUCAACCAGGCCGGCUUUCGGGAUGCGGUCUCUGCUCGUUGGACUCUUGCUCGCACCUCUCCCCAUCACUCCAUGUCCGCCGUUGACUCGUGGCACUUCUGCGCCAAGCUUGCCCGCCAAUUCAUGA
rnacentral:rRNA from 1 species